rnacentral:rRNA from 1 species
AUUGAACGCUGGCGGCAGGCCUAACACAUGCAAGUCGAACGGCAGCACAGAAGAGCUUGCUCUUUGGGUGGCGAGUGGCGGACGGGUGAGUAAUGUCUGGGAAACUGCCCGAUGGAGGGGGAUAACUACUGGAAACGGUAGCUAAUACCGCAUAACGUCGCAAGACCAAAGUGGGGGACCUUCGGGCCUCACACCAUCGGAUGUGCCCAGAUGGGAUUAGCUAGUAGGUGGGGUAAUGGCUCACCUAGGCGACGAUCCCUAGCUGGUCUGAGAGGAUGACCAGCCACACUGGAACGGAGACACGGUCCAGACUGCUACGGGAGGCAGCAGUGGGGAAUAUUGCACAAUGGGCGCAAGCCUGAUGCAGCCAUGCCGCGUGUAUGAGGAAGGCCUUCGGGUUGUAAAGUACUUUCAGCGGGGAGGAAGGCGGUGAGGUUAAUAACCUCGCCGAUUGACGUUACCCGCAGAAGAAGCACCGGCUAACUCCGUGCCAGCCGCCGCGGUAA